GACGAACGCUGGCGGCGUGCUUAACACAUGCAAGUCGAGCGGUAAGGCCCUUUCGGGGGUACACGAGCGGCGAACGGGUGAGUAACACGUGGGUGACCUGCCCUCAGCUCUGGGAUAAGCCUGGGAAACUGGGUCUAAUACUGGAUAUGACUCCACGGUGCAUGUCGUGGGGUGGAAAGCCUUGUGCGGCUGAGGAUGGGCCCGCGGCCUAUCAGCUUGUUGGUGGGGGAUGGCCUACCAAGGCGACGACGGGUAGCCGGCCUGAGAGGGCGACCGGCCACACUGGGACUGAGACACGGCCCAGACUCCUACGGGAGGCAGCAGGU
rnacentral:rRNA from 1 species